rnacentral:rRNA from 1 species
UCCGUUUGAUCCCGGCAGAGGUUACUGCUAUCGAGGUUCGACUAAGCCAUGCGAGUCGAAUGUAGCAAUACAUGGCGUACUGCUCAGUAACACGUGGACAACCUACCCUUGGGACGGGGAUAAACCCGGGAAACUGGGUAUAAUACCCGAUAGAUCUCGAAUGCUGGAAUGCAUCGAGUUCGAAAGCUCCGGUGCCCAAGGAUGGGUCUGCGGCCUAUCAGGUAGUAGUGGGUGUAGCGUACCUACUAGCCUACGACGGGUACGGGUUGUGAGAGCAAGAGCCCGGAGAUGGAUUCUGAGACACGAAUCCAGGCCCUACGGGGUGCAGCAGGCGCGAAAACUUUACAAUGCUGGAAACAGCGAUAAGGGGACCUCGAGUGCCAGGUUACAAAUCUGGCUGUCGUGAUGCCUAAAAAGCAUUGCAUAGCAAGGGCCGGGCAAGACCGGUGCCAGCCGCCGCGGUAACACCGGCGGCUCGAGUGGUAACCGUUAUUAUUGGGUCUAAAGGGUCUGUAGCCGGCCGGAUAAGUCUCUUGGGAAAUCUGGCAGCUUAACUGUCAGGCUUUCAGGGGAUACUGUCUGGCUCGAGGCCGGGAGAGGUGAGAGGUACUUCAGGGGUAGGGGUGAAAUCUUGUAAUCCUUGAAGGACCACCAGUGGCGAAGGCGUCUCACCAGAACGGACCUGACGGCAAGGGACGAAAGCUAGGGGCACGAACCGGAUUAGAUACCCGGGUAGUCCUAGCCGUAAACGAUACUCGCUAGGUGUCGGCCACGGUGCGACCGUGGUCGGUGCCGUAGGGAAGCCGUGAAGCGAGCCACCUGGGAAGUACGGCCGCAAGGCUGAAACUUAAAGGAAUUGGCGGGGGAGCACCACAACGGGUGGAGCUUGCGGUUUAAUUGGAUUCAACGCCGGAAAUCUUACCGGGACCGACAGCAAUAUGAAGGCCAGGCUGAAGACUUUGCCGGAUUAGCUGAGAGGUGGUGCAUGGCCGUCGUCAGUUCGUACUGUGAAGCAUCCUGUUAAGUCAGGCAACGAGCGAGACCCA